UACCCACUCCGGUUACUCAUGUAUUUCCUCAAACAGCCUAGAACUAGUAAGUCAAUGUUUUAAGGUACAUGUUUUCCUGUAAGUUGUAAAUAUUAUAAAAGCGUGCGUCUGCUCGAUAUGUCGUUCAAUUGAUGUUAACGGCAGUGUGGAAACAUUCAAAAUGAAAUUAACUUUAUUUUUCGCAUUUUUAUUACUGUGUUGCCAGAUAUUCUGGGUUUCGUGCGACAGCUCUCCUAAUAAAGUAACCGGUACCGGGACGGUAACGACUACAACUCCCAAGCCAUGGUCAAAAAAAAUUAAAAGUGGUUUGGAUAAUUUCUUCAGAGGUGCUGCUGUUGUAGGGGUAGUUCAAGGUGCUAUUCAAAAUGGUCGAUCCCACAAACCAAAAUUAUCUAAGCAUUAAAAAUUAUAUUAUUUCUAUUUGUUGUAUUAGCCAAUAUAUCAUAUAAUUAUAAUAUUCUAUAUAUGUA